CUGUUAGUCACUUGGUAGCCAUCUCAGUUAUCAGAUCUACUGUGGUGAUACCACACUACUAUUCCAGUAACUCUUAUUUUACUAAAAUAUGGCCCCAAAGAACAAGAGUAAUGAUGCCCGCCAUUCGAAUAUGCCAAAGAGAAGCGGUAAAGUCUUUGUUUCCUUUAAGUGAAGAGAUAAACGUUCUCUACUUCAUACGGAAAAAAUAUAUAUAUCACAUGCUGAGGUUGCUAAGAUCUAAGGUAAGAACAAAUCUUCUAUUUGUGAAAUUGAGAGCAAGGAAAAAGAUAUUUCCGCUAGUUUUGCUGUUGUACCUAAACUGCUAAAGUUAUGGCCACAAUGCAUGAUAAAUACUUAGUUAAGAUGGAAAAGUCAUUAAAUUUGUGAGUGGAAGACAUGACGUUGUGGUUCAAUGAUCCUCCUUCUGACAUGUGGUCAGGUCAGUAGCAGCCCAACACUAUGUCACAGAGUCAUCAUUCACUCACUUCAUCUCAUCACGUAGGCACUGUAUCAUCUCACAUCAUCACAAGAAGGGUCACCAUGAAAACAAUGCCAGGGAGGGUCACCUUCCCCCUUCUUUGUGGGACCAUCAGACAAGCCAGAAGAGAAAAGAGGCUGAUCCCAUACCUACUGGCCAUGUAGAGGAGAGGGCAGCAAGCCGGAGACGAGGAGGGAAAAGGAGAAAGAAAGGGGACAGCACAAGAGCCUCAUGAAGCAGUGGUUUCAGCUUGGUGGCAUUUGAAAUAUCUAAAAAUCCUGGGUAAUCAAUAGAACAUAAAUCUAUGGAAUCUAUA